UCCAAUGAGUGAAACAGAGUUGGCUAUCGCAUACUCAGAGGACGCGGUGACCUGCGGACUGGCUUCGACUCGUGCAUCCACAGACAGACGCACGCACUCUCACGCACUUGUUUCUCACUCAUGACUCCCACAUCGAAACCAAAUAUCAAAUGCUUCUCUCUUUAUGCUCCACCUAUUUGUCUCUCUUUCUCUUUAUUCCUUCUGCCAUUGGAAAGCUAUGCGUGGACUCACUAUUUAUCUUCCCCUCUUCGCGCCAUGGGCCUGGUCUCUGUUUUCUGCGUUGCGUCUUCUUGCCUGGAACAGCUUUGUCAUUGAUAGAGGGUCUACUAUCGUUGUGUACAUCAUAAGAAGAGCCACGCGUAUUCACAUACGUGACACUUAAACAAUUUUCUCCGAUUAAGUUAGCUUUCUUUCAUUCGUCUUUAUAUUUAAUACAUCUCAUAUCUCUUACCUGCUAUAUAAUCACUACUAGGUUAAUCUAUAGUUUUAUUCACAAUCUAGGGGAGACAUCUGUUUUGAAUUUAGGAUAUCUAUUGUCUGUCUCCGAUUAAGGAUUACAGAGAAACAACAUUUUUUAAAAAUGUUAUUAUACGUUGCGGUCGCCGCCAUGAUGCAUCCAUAGUGCCAGUACUGUUCCGAAUCUUGCAUACUACUUGGGAACCAUUCCAAGAGCGUAUAUUUUGAUGGUGAAAGCAGUGUGGAUCAAGAAAAAGAAAAAUAAGGAUGGUGCGUCUAACGGGGCCAACGUUCGAAUUACUCGUUGCUGCAACCGAUGCACUCGGUGUUUUUAUAUUCAGUGUGCCCACUGUAUGUCGAAACACGACGCAUCCGAGUAACUCAAAGAUCUCUUCUCGAAACUUCGUGAAGCAUAGGCGAGGUUUUAUCGUAACCUAAAAAAAGAUGUACGUAGAAAAGAAUCUGGGCCAAGUUCGAAUAUUUGCGCUCGGUUUUUGCCCGCAUGAGUGUGUUUGACAUGUCUUCACGCGCGCGACUACGUCACUCGCUUGAAAAUAGUAUUAUCGCUGUUUUAUCGAUGCCCUCCGUAUUCUCGGAAGCUCUCGUCUCGUGUCUUCGAUACACCGCCUCACAAACGUCUUUGAUAUGCGAACGAUAUUUGCCAUCGCGAUAUAAUUUGUUCAAAUUUUUUAGGUUAAUUUGAGAUUGUGACAAACAGACGAUUAAUGGGGGGAAAAAAUAUUGGAGACAUUUUUUUUGCGAAAUUCCUUUAUCGCGAUAAUAAAAAAGUGUGCGCGUUAUCAUAAGAUUAACAAAAUUAUAUGCAAGUGAAUAAUCCUUUGUACCGACAGGUGCAAAAAUUGACGUAUAAAAAUAUCCGUAACAAUUUCAAAAUGAAAUCUAGAUAAAAGUUGACUAGUAUCAUUGCUGGUAUUACUGUAUAUUAUGUAUUGUGAGGAUAUGCAUUAUCUAUUAAUAUAUCUAUAUAUACGAUCGCACGGCAUAUAAUAUUUUGGAGGUUCGGCAAGUUCCAUAGGUCGAAACAAUAGUUGCAAAUUGACAAAAGAUAAUGUCAAUAUGCUUUUAGUCCUGAUCCGUCAUAUAGAUCUUUCUAAGAAAUUGCCAAAGCGCCGUCGUAUUUCGAAAAUUCGAUAUUGGAUCGUUCGCAAAUGCUUGAUACGUAAAUAAUUUAAAUAACAAAAAAUGCUAGAAUAACAUUAUACCAACGAGGCAUUAUACACGUGCGAGCAUAUCAAAGGUAAAUAUCGUUUCUCGCAUGUACAGUCGACGGCGACGUCGCCACGUGGAGAGCGUAACCAUUGAUUUCCGAACUCUGGGGUAUUUUAGAAUUUAUAUCAACGUGUUUUCGGCCAUAUUCUCCUACCACAAUGUACACACUAGUAUACGUAAAGGGCAAAUAUGUACGUGAGAGUACGCGUGCGCCACUCCCACUCAGCCCUUACACCCAUCGAAAAAGGGUAUAUAUAUAUAAAUAUUAUAUAUAUAUAUAUAUAUAAAGAAUAAUCCACAUAGAACGGCUGAGGGGACAGAAGGGUGGCGCCGGGGUUUACAACUUAUCCCCCUUAUCCCUGCACACCAGUGUCACGCACACACACUCGACACGUGCACCAACACCGAAUCAGAACCCCACGACCUCUACCACAGGGGGUGACGUUGACCCCCCUAUACUACCAACGCUGAAGUUUACAGGGCGCUGAAUGUUCCGGGAGAGAAAGUGACACGGGCCUUAACGCACCAUCUUGAGGAGGGAAUACGAGGGUGGGUUUUCUGAAGGGUGAAAGGACACGGAGAAGACGUCGUAUCGAUCCCUUCGAAAUACCUUACGUGCAAUGAAUAGGUGCAGGCUUGGAUGCUAUAUUUUUUUAAGGACACAGGAUACUGCGAAUGUAACGUGGAUACGCAAAGCUUGGCUAAUAUCGUGAUUUCGUGCGUCAAAUAUCGAAUAGGCGAAUCUGCAAUUCGCGACAUGAUUUACAUGCGCACCCCAUUCGCCCCGUACAGUGGCUGAUCGGAUGUUAAGAAAAUCGAAAGAUUCUUUGUCUUUUAAAAAAACAAACAUGACCACACCCAG